ensembl:lincRNA
AUGAGCCAACACUCCUUCCCUUGGUACCCACCUCCUUUUCUUCGCCUCCUGGCCUUUGUACCUCGCCUGACUCCCUUCAAUAAAGAUCUCCUGCCGGACCUCUUGAUCUCCUGCCGGACCUCUCGGUGCGUGAGUGACCUGAUUGGGAGGGGGCGCCCAAAGGGGGCUCGAGACCCCUUUCACCUGCCACAUGCAGCAACACCUGCAGGUCCAGAUACCCCUGGAGACCAUCGGACUUCCCCUGCCCCAGAACAAAAGACUUCCUCCACUUCACGACAAAAAUCUCCAUUCCUCCUGGCACUACCCCUCCUCUACCUAAACUCCCCUAUAAAGGUUCCCCUCACCCAAGACCCCAGUGUCAAAAGUUUUGUCAACCUUGACUAGCCUGCACCCAGACUGAAAAUAAAAUCCUGCAUGUCACUUCAUUUUUGCCUGCUCUGGUUGGUGGUCUCAGUCACACCUUGACUUACCCAAAUGUGAUGCACUUUUUAUUGAUUUUAUCCUUUCCUCUCUUUUUUCAGCCAAAAUUCACUCUACAGAGCUAAUUUUUCCCUUACCCCUUCACUCCUUCCUUUUCAAAUAGAUUACAGCACCAUUUUUGGUUUGUCUCAUCCAAUUAUUUGUUUAAGGCAAGAAGUACUUGGAAUAAGCUUAAUUGGUGAGCCAUUACUAAAGGAACUGUCCAACAACAUUUUGGCAAAGCCAGCUAGGAGAUAACAUUUUGACAUAGCCAGCCACAAAAGUAAAAGCUCAGGUACAGAAGAUAAAGGUAAGACCCACGUGGGUACAUUUUUUGUUUCUAAAAUACUGUGAGAAAAAAAAACUUUCUCUGUGUCACUCUCUACCAUAGGCCAGGAAUGCAAGGGAGUAUUCUCAAAUCAUGCAGGUAACUGUUUGCUGCUUCUCUAGCCAUGAGAAUGGCACUGUUUGUGAUGACCUGGAUGGUCAUCCAUUCCUCAGGCCCUAGGAAGUGAAGCUCCCUAGAAAUGCUUGAUAAAUGAAAACACCUUCACAGGCCAAAAUAUUAGGUCCCAUCUGAACAAGGACCAAAAGAUCCAGGAGGAAAAGUCGUGAUCCUCCUCCACCUGAGGGCUGACUCAUCACCUGCUAGGAGAAAAAGUACAAUCACUCUGAAAAUAAAUAAUCACUCUAAAACAUUAAGUGAACAAAAAUAACCCAAAUGCAUAUACCCUACGAGCUCAAAUAUGUAAAACUGUGAUAAGGAAAACUUUAAUAGAGAAAACCUAGGAAAUUAUCACAAUGUAAGAUAACUUCUGCCCUUAGCUCUGUUUAGUUCAGAAUUAACCAGCACCGGAGGCAUCUAGUCUCCCCCAAGUUUUGUAAAUGAAAAGAACCAUUGUUAGCUUUGUUGACCAACCAAGGUCCCUUCCCCUGGCUAGAAUAGGUAACUGAAUAAAUCUUAAAGGUAACUUCCCUAACAAAGAACUGCAUCUGGGUUGAAAUUCAACUGCCUUGCCACCACGUUUUGGGUAUCAGCAAUGUGAGCUGAGAAAAUGCAAUGUAACCAACUGAAUAAGAUCAAGGCUGUAAAACUCUAUAAAAGAAGGAGUUGUAAUCCAAUGGGGGAGUAGAUCAGGGCACCGCCAUUAGGUGUGAUCAAUCCCUAUUUUAUUUUACUUCCAUUCUGUCUGUGUGUCACUUGCCAAUUCCUUCCAUAACAACUGUCAUGUCUACAUGACAGUCAAACGUGGUGUGAUCAAAGUAUAUGGUGAAUCUUCAAAUUUUAUUUAAAAAAUUAUUACAAUCAAAGGCACAUUGCCACUAAUUCUGUUCAACAUUCUUGGCUUUGAAUGCACUUAUCCCAUUAUUCUUGCCACUUUGAGGUAGUUCUAGAAGUUCUUUCCCAAAUGUCUUUAUGAGGUAUGAUUUUAAAAAAUACAGUAAAUGCUGCUGUCAACUGUCAUCUAGAAAGACAGCCUCGUAAAAAAUAUCAUGGUGUAUUGUCUCCCACCUUAUACCAUGGAUCUGGCACCGUGUGACUUCUGGAUGUCCUCUUAGCACAGAGCCAGGUGUGUGGGAUCCAUCAUCAGGACCUGUGAUCCAUGAAGUGGGGGGCAGCAAGCUGAAUGGCUUUGGGCCCACACUGCUGGAUAACUCCAAGGCCUUGAGAAGGUACUCUCCCAGUUCAGCCUCCUGGCUCUGACAGGCUCUGAAUGGAUCUGUGGCAGAGAAUGUCCCAUGGUCUUGGCUGCUCAGGAGUCCAGAGUUCAGCUGCUAACAGAGGUAGGCACUGGGCUCUUCAGACAGUACAAGACUCCAGGCACGAAGCAAACUAGGAGGAGCUUUCCAUUUCCCUGCAGUCUUAGGGUCCCCUCCUCCUAAACCCACACACAUCUCUCCCUGGCAGGCCCAGAGGAAACUAUCUGCCCAUGACUGUGGCAUGUUCCUGUUUUUGGGUCCCCUAAAUCUGUAGAACAAGAGCCCAAGGAGGGAAAGGAAGGGUGCUGACCAAGGCAGUCAAGUGCCCUGGGGAUCAACUGGACCUAGGCCUGGGCUGAAUACAACUGUCUACACAGGCUGGACCUGAGAUCCCAAAGCUGGACAUGUCAGACAUCCCACACCCCAGCCAAUCCACCUGGACCAAGCCCAAGAGAAUCCCCUUCACAGCAACAUCCAGACAUUGGUCAGUGCUCAAGAGAAGUCAGGGGCAGUCGUCAAGUGUCUUGACCCAUGUUUUAGCUGUCUACAUAUACAUUUCUUUUUGCCGCCACAUCCCCAGUGCAUAUCACAUACCCAGUACUUAAGAGUGCAGGAAGUAUCUGCCCAAGAAAAUGAAUGAGUGAAUAGUCAUCCCAAGGGUACAGAGCUCUCCCAUCAGAUCUGAACCAGGAAACAGCCUGGAAGCUGGCCAGGUCCUGGGGGCAUCCCAGCCCCCUAAGACGGUACCAGCUAAGCAUCCUCCAUAGACUGCUGCUGCCCCUUCCCAGAGAAGCCACAGGACAGUGCCACACAGCUG